UACGUAGGGGGCAAGCGUUGUUCGGAAUUACUGGGCGUAAAGGGCGCGUAGGCGGCACAGCAAGUCGGGCGUGAAAGCCCGGGGCUCAACCCCGGAAUGGCUUUCGAAACUGCUGAGCUAGAGUACAGAAGGGGCAACCGGAAUUCCCAGUGUAGCGGUGAAAUGCGUAGAUAUUGGGAAGAACACCUGAGGCGAAGGCGGGUUGCUGGGCUGAUACUGACGCUGAGGAGCGAAAGCGUGGGGAGCGAACAGG
rnacentral:rRNA from 1 species